UAAGCAUUAUUAUGGUUGUUUUAUUUUUAGUAUAUUUUCAUCACAAUGUCUAAAAUAUAACGUUUCAAAUAUACAUUUUAAGAAUACCAUUAAUAAUGUAAUAACAUCCAACCUUUUCUCGGCUUUCUUUACUGUGCCACAGACAGCUCCCUCAGCCUUUUGUAAGCAAAACAUGCCCAUGCGGUGUGGGCAGGGCAGGGCAAACUCACACCACAUCCCAAAUGGGCCCCACACAGGGCCCAUAUGGGCAAGGCGAGCGGGCUCCUUAUGACUUUGCCCUUUUGAGCCCCAUGGAGGUUUUUAGGGGGCAUGCCCACAGAAAACCCACACAUGCCCCAUAUUUUUUUUAGCUAGCCCCCAUUAGUUUGCCAUUAAUCAUAGUAGGGCCUAAAAUUUUUUUUUUAAUAUUUUAAUUAUUAAAAUAAGUAUUAUUAAUAAAUUAUUAAAAUAAUUAUCAUUGGUUGUUAAUAUCUUAGCAGAUAAUUUUUUUAUGUUUAUUGUUGUUGUUAAAUCAAAAACCAGUUACUACACUUUUAUUAUAAUAAAAACAUUUCUUUUAUUUUUUUAUAAAGCUCUGUCCAUUUAGAACAAAAUGUGCAUGCAUGUUUAUGAAAUAAUUGAACCCAUAUCAAACCCACCCCCGGAUGAAGAUCUAAAAAGCUAUGUUUUAAAAGCACAAUAUUUCUGUUUAUUUUAAUAGAAGAAAUAUUUAUUGUUAAACAAGUUCUAAUUUUCAGUUCCGUCUGGACGUGGGACAUCUUUUUUACCAUCUUUAUUGUUUUUUUUUUUAACAUUUUGUCUUUUGUUAUGUGUUAUUAGCUAUGGUUAUUAUUCAUGUUCGACUUCAUGCUGCGCUGCGAGAACCGACAUCAUACGUUGAUGACGUCAAUGUAUCGCGAGAGCGAGUCAAGAAUUACACUCUCGCGGUACAUUGACGUUAUCAACCUGUCAGCGCAGCAAGAAGUCGAACACACGUAUAUGCGGGCGCGCGCCUCCGUCCUCGUGAGUUCAAAGUGGAUUUUAACCGUUUACCUCAGACGACAGUUUUCAUUUCUAUGGCAAAUUCUAAGGUCAUUUUCUUGUUGUGUUUUGAUGUUUUCCAUUGGCUGAAGAGCAGAUUACCAUGCAAUUUGAAGAAGUGUGAUAAAAUACACAGAGGUGAAGUCAUGUGUCUUUCCAGAUGCCCAAUCUGUACCACUCAAAAAAUGAGCCUGAAGAGGAGAUUUGGGAAGAUGCUGUUUUAUAAGUCUUUGCUUUGCCAGAUCACCUGUGGUCGAGAUGUCUGCUAACAAGAUGCCUUGUUGGUCUGGUCGAGUUUGAAAUCUCUCACAGACAGUCCAGAAGGUCUGGAGUCCAUCUUAGCUUUUAUUGAACCCAUCAGCAACCAUCAAGAGAAAUUGGAGGCAGCUGAGCUAAAUUGCAGAUAUUGAUGCAAAUGAUCUGUAUAAUAUGCUUUCAUCGGGUUUUAAGUACAGUAUGAGCCAGAAUGGAAGGGUGUUGGUGGCCAUAAGAAGACUGUGAGCUAAACCUACAACAAAAUUCAUAUUUGCAGUUUUCCUAUAUUUUUUUCUAUUCAGAUGAAUAAAAUGACUUUUAAAUAUUAUUUUGUUUUCAUAUUUUAUGUAUUUAUUCUGUAUUUGGAAUAUUCAACUUCCGCACUACUAACUGGAAACCUAACUGUUUGAAAGAAUUUGUUUUUAUCUAUAAAAGAUCAAUUUUAACAGCUGCUUUCAUGUUUAUUUAGAAAGGGUAGGCACAUGCCAUCGUUCACAUUCAAACUUGACCUACUUUAGGUGUUUAGUUUUAUGGAUGGGGUUGUACUGUAGGUAAUGAGCAGCAAGUUGCAUUCUUGUAAUAAUUAUACUAAAAACAUGAUAUGUACAGCAAAUCAUUUGGUGCGUAUUGAAAUUUAAAGUGAAAAUCUAUAUUUAGUGUUAAAAAGUGCGUUAAAACUGCUUUGCGAUAUCAACCUUGAUUCACCUAUGUUGAAAGUGUGACGUUGAAACAACAUUGAAAUGUUGUGAAAUCAAUGUGAAGUCAACUUUAAUUCACUUUGCAAAACCAAAAGGUAAUUCAACGUUGAUGCAACUUUGGUCCCUGACGUUGAUUCAACGUUGAAAUGCCGGCUGAGAAGCUAAGACCAACCUAAACCAGCUAAAACCAGCCUGGCCAGCUAAGACCAGCUUAAACCAGCUAAAACCAGCCUGGCCAGCUAAGACCAGCCAUCCUGACCAGCUAAAACCAUCCUGACCAGCUAAAACCAGCCUGGCCAGCUAAGACCAGCCUGACCAGUUUAAACCAGCCUGGCCAUCUUAAACCAGCCUGACCAGCUAAGACCAACUAAAACCAGCUAAGACCAGCCUAAACCAGCCUGGCCAGCUUAAACCAGCUAAAACCAGCCUGACCAGCUAAAACCAGCCUGACCAGCUAAGACCAGCCAUCCUGACCAGCUAAGACCAGCCUGACCAGCUAAAACCAGCCUGACCAGCUAAAAAUUGUCGCCAAAACCCCUCUUAAACCAGCAUGAUACACCAGCUAUGACCAGGCUGGGAGACCAGCUAAAACCAGCUUGACCAGCUUAAGCUGGUUUUAGCUGGUUUUUUCA